AAUACGUAUGGUGCAAGCGUUAUCCGGAUUUACUGGGUGUAAAGGGAGCGUAGGUGGCUGCGCAAGUCAGAAGUGAAAGCCCGGGGCUUAACCUCGGGACUGCUUUUGAAACUGUGUAGCUAGAGUGCAGGAGAGGUAAGUGGAAUUCCUAGUGUAGCGGUGAAAUGCGUAGAUAUUAGGAGGAACACCGGUGGCGAAGGCGGCUUACUGGACUGUAACUGACACUGAGGCUCGAAAGCGUGGGGAGCAAACA
rnacentral:rRNA from 1 species